UACAGAGGUCUCAAGCGUUGUUCGGAUUCAUUGGGCGUAAAGGGUGCGUAGGUGGCGCGGUAAGUCGGGUGUGAAAUUCGGAGCUUAACUCCGAAACUGCAUUCGAUACUGCCGUGCUUGAGGACUGGAGAGGAGACUGGAAUUUACGGUGUAGCAGUGAAAUGCGUAGAUAUCGUAAGGAAGACCAGUGGCGAAGGCGGGUCUCUGGACAGUUCCUGACACUGAGGCACGAAGGCCAGGGGAGCAAACGGG
rnacentral:rRNA from 1 species